GACGAACGCUGGCGGCGUGCUUAACACAUGCAAGUCGAACGGAAAGGCCCUGCUUUUGUGGGGUGCUCGAGUGGCGAACGGGUGAGUAACACGUGAGUAACCUGCCCUUGACUUUGGGAUAACUUCAGGAAACUGGGGCUAAUACCGGAUAGGAGCUCCUGCUGCAUGGUGGGGGUUGGAAAGUUUCGGCGGUUGGGGAUGGACUCGCGGCUUAUCAGCUUGUUGGUGGGGUAGUGGCUUACCAAGGCUUUGACGGGUAGCCGGCCUGAGAGGGUGACCGGCCACAUUGGGACUGAGUUAGGGCCCAGACUCCUACGGGAGGCAGGAGUGGGGAAUAUUGCACAAUGGGCGGAAGCCUGAUGCAGCAACGCCGCGUGCGGGAUGACGGCCUUCGGGUUGUAAACCGCUUUCGCCUGUGACGAAGCGUGAGUGACGGUAAUGGGUAAAGAAGCACCGGCUAACUACGUG
rnacentral:rRNA from 1 species